rnacentral:rRNA from 1 species
GGGAUCAUUACCGAGUUUACAACUCCCAAACCCAUGUGAACAUACCUACUGUUGCUUCGGCGGGAUUGCCCCGGGCGCCUCGUGUGCCCCGGAUCAGGCGCCCGCCUAGGAAACUUAACUCUUGUUUUAUUUUGGAAUCUUCUGAGUAGUUUUUACAAAUAAAUAAAAACUUUCAACAACGGAUCUCUUGGUUCUGGCAUCGAUGAAGAACGCAGCGAAAUGCGAUAAGUAAUGUGAAUUGCAGAAUUCAGUGAAUCAUCGAAUCUUUGAACGCACAUUGCGCCCGCCAGUAUUCUGGCGGGCAUGCCUGUCUGAGCGUCAUUUCAACCCUCAUGCCCCUAGGGCGUGGUGUUGGGGAUCGGCCAAAGCCCGCGAGGGACGGCCGGCCCCUAAAUCUAGUGGCGGACCCGUCGUGGCCUCCCCUGCGAAGUAGUGAUAUUCCGCAUCGGAGAGCGACGAGCCCCUGCCGUUAAACCCCCAACUUUCCAAGGUUGACCUCAGAUCAGGUAGGAAUACCCGCUG